rnacentral:SRP_RNA from 1 species
GCCAGGCAUGGUGGUGUGUGCCUGUAAUCCCAGCUACUUGGGAGGCUGAGGCAGGAGAAUUGCUUGAACCCGGGAGGCAGAGGUUGCAGUGUGCCAAGGUCACACCACUACACUCCAGCCUGGGUAACAGAGCGAGACUCUGUCUCCA